GGUUCGUGACGAUGUUGGAAUGGCUCAAUCAUAUCAAAUCUCCCAAGUGUCGAAAUGGGUCCUUUAAUCUGAUUGAGCCGUGCCAAUAUCUUCACUUAUUUU
rfam:Eucalyptus grandis cultivar BRASTZ1 unplaced genomic scaffold scaffold_11, whole genome shotgun sequence.